CUGCUUUACUGGAGAGCGGGCGAGGCGUGCAUGGGGCAUGGGGAGCACAAGAAAACAAAUACCGAGAAAAUGAGUCAUGCAGCUCUUUACUUGAAAGCUCCACGCUCCCCUCUAGCAAUAUUCCAGCUCAAAUCCAGACUAUAAAUCACUACCUGUGUGAACUCAUGGAUUACUCAUUCGUCAUGUGUCCGGCCAAGCCGUGCCAGGCUCUGCUGUUUGAAGUGGUUAACCCCUCGCCGAGGUGGUGGGAGCCAUGGAAGCUGCUUUCAUUGCUCUGCUUGGACAUGAGGGAGCUGCACAGAAAGCCUCAGCCUUGGGUUAAUGUGGGGAAGGCAAAGCAGAACCCUAAUGGGGUGUGACGGGCACUGCUGUGUUGGAGCUGUGCGGUAGUGUCUUUGGAGCACAGACGCUGUGUGUCACAAGGAGCCGAGUCUGGGCACCCAAAACCACUACCAAGCGGCGUUUCUUAACGUUUCCCAUGGAGGCAUGGUCUGGGAAAACUUGAGAACAGCUCCCCACUUCCCUCCUUCCCUGCUGCCCCACAGGCAGGCAAAACACCUAAACUUUUUUUUUUUUUUUUGCAUAAAAAUCUUUGGCCGCUCCUUCCAUCUCUCUAAGAGAAGGGCUGCUCAGGUGAGACUGAGCUGCACAGGUGAAGAUGGUUAAUGCUGCCCAAGAUGUCCUGAAACCAUGAAUCUGGAACUGGGCACAGACAGUCUCCUGUGACAAAUCAUUGCCAGAGCAGAAAAGGGAUGAGGUUUGGAGGAAACACUCCAAAGAA